rnacentral:rRNA from 1 species
GAUGAACGCUGGCGGCGUGCCUAAUACAUGCAAGUCGAGCGAACAGACGAGGAGCUUGCUCCUCUGACGUUAGCGGCGGACGGGUGAGUAACACGUGGAUAACCUAGCUAUAAGACUGGGAUAACUUCGGGAAACCGGAGCGAAUAUAGGAUAAUAUAUUGAACCGCAGGGUUCAAGAGAGAAAGAGAGGUUUGCUGUAACUUAUAGAUGGAUCCGCGCCGCAUUAGCUAGUUGGUAAGGUAACGGCUUACCAAGGCAACGAUGCGUAGCCGACCUGAGAGGGUGAUCGGCCACACUGGAACUGAGACACGGUCCAGACUCCUACGGGAGGCAGCAGUAGUGACUCUUCCGCAAUGGGCGAAAGCCUGACGGAGCAACGCCGCGUGAGUGAUGAAGGUCUUCGGAUCGUAAAACUCUGUUAUUUGGGAAGAACAAAUGUGUACGUAACUAUGCACGUCUUGACGGUACCUAAUCAGAAAGCCCCGGCUAACUACGUG